rnacentral:lncRNA from 1 species
AAAAAGAGAAAAUAAAGCAAAGAAAUAAAUGUCAUUAAAAAAGAACCAGCUGGAAAUUAUAGCUGGAAAAAUAUAAUAACUGAAUAUAAAACUCUAUCAAUGGGCCUAAGAGUAGAUUGGAGAUGGAAGGUGAUAAAAAUCAGUAAAUUGGGGGCAGAUCAGUAGAAUUUAUCCAAGCUGAACAUCAGGGAGAAAACAGGCUCUCAGAAACCUGUGAGAUAAUAACAAAAGAGCUAACGUUUAUAUCACUGAACUCCUAGGAGAAGAGAAAGCGGGACUGGAAAGUAUUAGAAGAAAUAAUGGCCAAAAACUUCCCAAAGUUGGCAAAGGAUGGAAACUUAAAGAUUCAAGAAGACAAGUCAAAUCUAAAUACGAUAAAUGAAAAAAAAAAUUCAUUCUAAGACACAUCAUAAUUCAAAAUUUGAAAACAAAGACAAAGGAAAAGAAUCUUCAAAUAUGGAGCCAGUGAUGGUGUUCACCUGUUUAAACACCCCAUCUUCCCCUGCGCCUAUGAUCCAGAACUAGGUUUAAUAAUGCAAGUUCCGCACUCCUACCCUUCAGUGCUCUUUAGGAUACCAGAGGUCCAGCCCCACCAACAGCCAUGGCUUGUUCAGCCCCCAGCCAUAAGGCUGUGCCUGGGUUCUCUCACCUCUCUGGUUUGAGCUAAGCUGUAAAUUGGACAGCAGGACAACUUUUUAGAGCCUCCUUUUAUACAUAAGGAGACCCCAUCCCUUCCACUUAUUCAAGCAGUAACCCAGGCUCUAGUUGCUGCCUCCCCAACCUAUCACUUACAUGAAACUUUUUAGGUUGCCUUUACUAGGGAGGAGACAAAAUCCUACAGCCUCUGUCUUCUCUCCCUGGAGCCCAAGAGACCUUGAAUCCACUCACCACUGUUCAUUUCUGCUCCACUUCUGGCUCAUGAAUAUGUUUAUUUGAGUAUAUACCUAACUUAUUCAUGUAUUCAGUCACUUUCUUAGUGAACAAAUAUUUAACGAAUACAUGAUAUGUGGUUAAUAUUCGGAGGGGAAGAGCAUACACCAAAGACCUAGAUUCUGUUCUAAAGACACUUAGACUCUAACUAGUAGGAGAGAGAACAUAGGUACACUCAUAAAAAGCCAGCAUUUUAUAGUGCUUGCUAUAUAUGAAGCACUUUGCAUGGGUUAACUUAUUCAACACCCGUAAUGACACUGUGAGUGAGUGCUUUUAUUAUACUCUAUUAUUUUUUCUGACCUUGAAGAAGGCUGAUGUAGAGUGACUAACUCACCCAAGGUGACACAUCUUGUUUAUGGAGGAUUCAGGAUGCAGGCCAGCAAAAGGAAAUCAGCUUGAGGCUGGACAAUUAAGGGCCAGUGCACUUGGUUGUGAUGCAGAUUUCUGAAGGACUUAGAGCAGGGGCAAGAUCAAAUAUUAAGAUCAGUUAGUUUUCAGCUAACUGGCAGGGCGGGUCAGAGUAGGAGAGCCUCUAGUGGGGAGACUAUGAGACAGUGGGGGCCCAGGAAGCAUGCUGGCCAUGAGAAUGGACCAGAAAGCACAUAAUAACAGCAUCUAGUGACAGAUUAGAAAUAGCUGUGAAGAGGAUAAAAGGAUGUUAAAAAUCAAAGGAUGAUGAAUCUCUCUGAACCACAUAUGUUGAGGGAGAUGUGAGCUUUGUCAGGGUUUGGCCUUUACUAGUUGUGUGUACUUUUGGCAUGUCACUUUUCCUUUUAAUCUUUUUUUCUGUUUUGACAUGAAAGGCUAUUGGAUAAGAGCCUUUAAAGUAGAGCUACCAUGCUUUAUUGGAUUUGUUUUUUUAAAAAAUAAACUGAUAAAGCAUUUUAUAAAAAUUUGAAUUCUGUCAACAUUUGAGCACUGGGAUUACACACAAAUCUGGAUUUCUGGCUUUUCUUGAAAAUCUGGAAGGUCUGGAAAUACCAGCCUCCUGGUGUCACGUGAAAGGAAUGUACUUCACCUUGAGAAGCAGCUGUCUCUCUAGAUGGGUCACCUGCUUCCCGUCCCCACCUCCCUCAGGUUUACUUCAGUCAUAUCAAUCAUAUCAAUCAUAUUGCCUACCUGGGUUCUGUAGAUAUUUCAGUAUCUUUAGCCCUAAACUAGUUGAUUUUCCAGGUUCUUCCAUCUGUAAAUCUUGUGAAUCUGUAAUUCUCAUAUGUACCCUAAGGAGAGGAGGAUGGUAACAGUAAUAGGUUUAUGAGCUUAUCUUGUGCACUAUAUUCUAAGUGCUUUGCCUAUAUGAUUUCAUUUAAUCCUCAAAACCCUCCUUUGGCAUCAGUAUUAAUUUUCAUUAUUACCAUGUUAUGAGUAAGGAAUAAAUGCCUAGGACAGCAACCAUGUCCAAGGUCAUCCAGUGGCUAAGUGGUAAGUUAGGAUUUGAACCCAACAGUCUGACUUCAUACCUAUUGCUUCUAAAUUAUGCAGCUCUGAAAUUUGAAGGUCAAUGAAUUUUGGGUAAAGGCCAGUUGGUUUUCAGUGUAUGAGAGGUACCAUGAUGGCCAUGAAGGGGAUGAAGACGAUCCUGAUACUUGCUACCCUAGACAGAAGAGUAAGAACUCUCAGCCCUUGUAAUUCUUCACACCACCUGUUAAACCACUGGAAGAGAACCAAUGUCGUCCUAGUGGUAAUGAAGCGUUAAGAGCUGGAAU